rnacentral:lncRNA from 1 species
AAUCUCACCUGCUGGGGUGGCCAGCCCUGCUGCAGGCCGGAGUGCUAUGAGCCCCCACAGGUCCUGGAACUAACAUCUCAACUCUAUGGAGACUCCCUGCCACCACAGGGCCACCUCAGCCCUGGAGAAGUCACCAGUCAGUGCACAGUCUUUAUAAGGUAGGCUGCAAGCAGCUCUCAAGGGGUGCCCUGUGGCUUUGGGCAUGCCGGGCAUACGCCCGCUGUCCUUUCAUGCAGUCUGGAUUUACAUACUGUGCGGAUUCUGCUGCCCUUCCACCUUCAUCCACCGAGGCUGAACAGGUCCUGAGCAGGUACGGACUUCGCUUUUUCAGCACUGUUCCCUAAAUACAGUGCAGUGGGCUUUUCAGUUGGGCUUGCUUUGUAUUGGGUAUCCUGUGUGACCCAGAGGGGGUUUAAUGUAUGGGAUGCUACGUGAAGGUUUCAUGCAAUGGCAUGUGAUCUCCACAAAGGAUGUGACCGUCUGUGGGUUUUAGGCUUCAUGGAUCCUGAGGGCUAGUUGUACCUGUCAAAAAAGGUUCCUAUCAGUCAGCUGUACUUUCUCCUGACAUAACUACAUUCCAACAUUAUCCCAUAGAACUAGAGCUAGGGUGGUUGUUGUUUGUUGUUGUUGUUUUGUUGUUGUUGUUGCUGCUGCUGUUGUUAUUUUAAUUUUAGACUGCAUCUCUCUAUGUAGCCUGGACUGACCUGGAACUCGCUGUACAGAUCAUUCUGGCCUUGUGCUCACAGAUGUCCACCUGCCUCUGCCUCUCAGCGCUGAAACUCUACGUGUGUACCACCACACCCAGCUGUGCUCUUUAAAACUGCGGUCUACAUUCCAAAAUAACUACCAUAAGUAAACUUGAAUUUGAAAUUUCUCAAAGGCAUAAUUGGAGUAGAAGGAAAGGGAAGCUGAUUACCUGUAGCCAGCCAUUGUCUGAGCCGUGGACUCUUGUGGAGGAGGCAGGGGAUGCAUUGUUUGCGAGGUGGGCAUCUCCCAUGCAUCUCCCACUGCCGCACUGUGGUCCCGUCCGACUAGUGAGCUCCAGGAACUCACAGCCUGGGAGCAUCCUCUUGUGAGCAAUUAGGCAAAUUUUAUGUUACUCAUUCCAGUUAGAGAUGAAGUUAAGAUCAUCCCCAAAGUUAGUUUAAGAAAACUUAUGAUCUAAAUUUGUGGAAAACCAGACAGGUUUCAAGCUUUGGUGAGAAAGCCCUGAAGUGAAGGAUCCUACCUUACAAAAAUGGAAGACACCCAUACAAACCUCAGUGCGGGGGCAGCUGGACUUUCCUGGCUGCUUUUUAGUUAUUCCCCGCCUUAGGAGCAGUGUGUGCAGUGCCAACCAGGCUGGCAGAGAUUGGCUAUGGGAGACACAGUGGAGAGUGCCUGUCCUUCUGGGAUAACCUCGUUCCUGUCCUUGCAAGCCAAAAAAGUGUCAGGGCAAAGGUAUUCUGUGCUGCCUGCCACACAGGAUUAAACUGUGUUGCAGUGACUUAGAAAAACUAUGACCAGUUAUUCCACAAAUGUACUUUUGAGUCUCAUAUGUGCCCCAACAUUUAUUGAGGUACAAUUGUACUUUGCUAAGAAGUUUCUCUUUAAUAUAAGAAAAUCCCUGAGGCAGAAUAAUUUACAAAACAAACAAAGGAACACACACAUAUCUUUCUCACAGAUCUGGAGGCUGGGAGGACUGGUACCAUCUAGUUCAGGAUGUUCUCUGUUCCCCAUCUGCACACUGCUGGAUGCGGCCUGCAGGAAGGAAGGAACUUGCCCCUUAAGUUCUUCUGCAAGGUAACCAUUUAAUCCAGGGGCCUCUGCCUCCGUAACUUGAUCAUUCCCUAAAUGCCUGACCUUUUGAUAUCAUCACACUGGUGACUGAAUUUCAACAUGUGGAUUUGGGGACGAUACAACAAAACCAAGCUUUUUUUUUUUUUUUUUUUUUUUUUUCUUUUCCUAUUUCUUAAUCCUUCCUUGUGAGCUAGAGGAUGUACCCAGGGUACAUCUUUGGGGUUCUUAAAAAAAUCUGCAGUCACUGUUAAGGGUCACAUUUUGGAUGUGAGCAACAGGUUGGAGCAACAAAUAUAUAGGCUCAGAGUUGCCUCUCAGGCUUGCCCCAUCUCCCCCUACAAACCAGUCAGAGGUUCCAUUCUUCCUGGUCAGGAACAUGGGUUUUGAGGACGUCUCAGUCUGUUUGUGCAGAAAAAGCCUUCCCUUCUGACUCUCAGGUGAACAGACCUCGGCUUCACCCUGUCAGUGAGGUCACAGUAUUAUAAAAGUGGAAAUGUAGCAGAGGACCAGCGUUUUGAAAGGACUGCAUGGCAGAGGCCAGCUCAGGCAGGACUAAAGAAUGCCUUUGCUUCUGUGUAACGGUCACUGGGAGUGUGUGUUGAGAUUAUGGGGAGAGUUAAGGCUGCUAUGCAGUAAAUCUUCAGUUCUGUUGGAGUCCCUGCGCUGAGCUCAGCUUCACACUUAGGCUGAAGUGAGCCCUCUGACAACCUAGAGGACUGGAAUGUUCUGAGCUGCUCACUGAGCAGACGUCCCCAGGCUUUGGGGGACCAGUGGGAAUCUUUAGCUUUUUCUGUGCCCAGACUUAACAAGCAUCGGGGAAUAAACUCAGGCCAGCAGGUUUGGUGGCAAAAGAACUUUUGGCAGCCAGUUGUUGGUUAUUGAUCCUCCAACACUCCUUUCUAAACCAUCCCUGAGCAGCUGGUACAGUUGCAUAAGGCAGCUCCCAGAACAAACCCUUUAUCUGAUCAACACGCACAGUAGUUCUGCACUCCCACAGCCUGGCAGCACAGUCCCCUGAGCAGGGUUUGCAGGGUGUUGGCUGUUGAGCAACUGUGGGAGGGAAGGAAAUUACUGCUGGACACUAUCUGUGUUUCUGUGGAGUGCUCAUUUCCUCUGAGUGAAAGCCGGGAUGGCUUUGGGUGGCUCUCGGUGCUUCUGGCAUGGCAAAGAAAAACAACCAUCUCCUUUCCAGGCUUUCGGCUUCAUCGUUCUUAAUUAAAACAAACAAACACACACACACACACACACACACACACACACACACACACAAAAUCAAGUUGCAAGAUGUUUAUUUUGUAAUUAACAAGGAAAAGAACUCUUAUUUUGAAAGUUUGGCUUGCGACACUUUCUAGUUGUGUUGGUUCUUGGAAGAAAAUGUUCUUGUGUUAGUUCUUGGCUUUGAAUUUUUCCUCAGUUUUGAAAAAGAAAACUGAUGUUGCCUGGCACAUAUAUUUAUAUGGGUUUAAGUGUUUCAGACUGUUAGGGGAUGGAGAUUGAUCCAGCCUAGUGCCAAUGAAUACAUGCUAUAGUAUGGCGUUCGGUCAGCUCAGUCUGUGGUUCUGUCUGAGAACCCAGGGACCUUUGCACCUAUUUCACUGUUAGUUACCAGACCUGAGACUUGUGGGAGCCACGCUUUUCAGGAGCAUAUCGCCCUCUCCUGGUCAAUAUAUAGUACU